rnacentral:rRNA from 1 species
CCUACGGGGGGCAGCAGUAGGGAAUAUUGCUCAAUGGGGGAAACCCUGAAGCAGCAACGCCGCGUGGAGGAUGAAGGUUUUCGGAUUGUAAACUCCUUUUGUUAGAGAAGAUAAUGACGGUAUCUAACGAAUAAGCACCGGCUAACUCCGUGCCAGCAGCCGCGGUAAUACGGAGGGUGCAAGCGUUACUCGGAAUCACUGGGCGGAAAGAGCGCGUAGGCGGGAUAGCAAGUCAGAUGUGAAAUCCUAUGGCUUAACCAUAGAACUGCAUUUGAAACUGUUAUUCUAGAGUAUGGGAGAGGUGAGUGGAAUUCUUGGUGUAGGGGUAAAAUCCGUAGAGAUCAAGAGGAAUACUCAUUGCGAAGGCGACCUGCUAGAACAUAACUGACGCUGAUGCGCGAAAGCGUGGGGAGCAAACAGGAUUAGAUACCCCAGUAGUC